CGUGUAGGCGGUUUGUUAAGUCUGGUGUGAAAGCCCUGGGCUCAACCUGGGAAGUGCAUUGGAUACUGGCAAACUUGAGUACGGGAGAGGAUAGUGGAAUUUCGAGUGUAGGGGUGAAAUCCGUAGAUAUUCGAAGGAACACCGGUGGCGAAGGCGGCUAUCUGGACCGAUACUGACGCUGAGACGCGAAAGCGUGGGGAGGCAAAACA
rnacentral:rRNA from 1 species